CCCCUAAACACUAAUCACUACCCCCCAAACCCCUAACUACUAACCCCUAACCACUAACCACUAACCACUAACCACUAACCCCUAACCCCUAACCACUAACCCCUAACCACUAACCCCUAACCACUAACCCCUAACCACUAACCCCUAACCACUAACCCCUAACCACUAACCCCUAACCCGAAUCUAACUUUUUUAAACCUUUUUGAAAAUCUAACCUUUUAAUUAAACUUUUUUUUGC